AGCGAACGUUAGCGGCGGGCCUAACACAUGCAAGUCGAACGCGAAAGGUCUUCGGACUGAGUAGAGUGGCGCGCGGGUGAGUAACACGUAGGUAAUCUACCCUUUGGCGGGGGAUAACGUUCCGAAAGGAGCGCUAAUACCGCAUAAGACCACGGAGUCUCCGGACGCUGUGGGAAGAGGUGGCCUCUUCUUGAAAGCUACCACCGAAGGAUGAGCCUGCGUCCCAUCAGCUAGUUGGUAAGGUAAUGGCUUACCAAGGCGAAGACGGGUAGCUGGUUUGAGAGAAUGAUCAGCCACACUGGCACUGGAACACGGGCCAGACUCCUACGGGAGGCAGCAGUGAGGAAUAUUGGGCAAUGGGCGAAAGCCUGACCCAGCCACGCCGCGUGAGUGAUGAAGGCCCUCGGGUCGUAAAGCUCUGUGGAGAGGGACGAAAACCCUGGUUUCAAAUAGGCUCCAGGCUUGACGGUACCUCUUUAGCAAGCACCGGCUAACUCUGUGCCAGCA
rnacentral:rRNA from 1 species